GGAUAACCGUGGUAAUUCUAGAGCUAAUACAUGCUAAAAACCCCAACUUCGGGAGGGGUGUAUUUAUUAGAUAAAAAACCAAUGCCCUUCGGGGCUCCUUGGUGAUUCAUGAUAACUUCUCAGAUCGCAUGGCUUUACGCCGGCGACGGUUCAUUCAAAUUUCUGCCCUAUCAACUUUCGAUGGUAAGGUAUUGGCUUACCAUGGUUUCAACGGGUAACGGGGAAUUAGGGUUCGAUUCCGGAGAGGGAGCCUGAGAAACGGCUACCACAUCCAAGGAAGGCAGCAGGCGCGCAAAUUACCCAAUUCCGAUACGGAGAGGUAGUGACAAUAAAUACUGAUACAGGGCUCUUUUGGGUCUUGUAAUUGGAAUGAGUACAAUUUAAACCUCUUAACGAGGAACAAUUGGAGGGCAAGUCUGGUGCCAGCAGCCGCGGUAAUUCCAGCUCCAAUAGCGUAUAUUAAAGUUGUUGCAGUUAAAAAGCUCGUAGUUGAACCUUUGGCCUGGCUGGCAGGUCCGCCUCACCGCGUGCACUUGUCCGGCCGGGCCUUUUCUUCUGGAGAACCGCAUGCCCUUCACUGGGUGUGUUGGGGACCAGGACUUUUACUUUGAAAAAAUUAGAGUGUUCAAAGCAGGCCUUUGCUCGAAUACGUUAGCAUGGAAUAAUAGAAUAGGACGUGCGGUCCUAUUUUGUUGGUUUCUAGGACCGCCGUAAUGAUUAAUAGGGACAGUCGGGGGCAUCAGUAUUCAAUUGUCAGAGGUGAAAUUCUUGGAUUUAUUGAAGACUAACUACUGCGAAAGCAUUUGCCAAGGAUGUUUUCAUUAAUCAGUGAAC
rnacentral:rRNA from 1 species